rnacentral:rRNA from 1 species
UACAGAGGUCUCAAGCGUUGUUCGGAUUCAUUGGGCGUAAAGGGUGCGUAGGUGGCGCCGUAAGUCGGGUGUGAAAUUUCGGAGCUUAACUCCGAAACUGCACUUGAUACUGCCUUGCUAGAGUACUGGAGAGGAGAUUGGAAUUUACGGUGUAGCAGUGAAAUGCGUAGAUAUCGUAAGGAAGACCAGUGGCGAAGGCGAAUCUCUGGACAGUUACUGACACUGAGGCACGAAGGCCAGGGGAGCAAACGGG